UACGUAGGGUACAAGCAUUAAUCGGAAUUAUUGGGCGUAAAGGGCGCGUAGGCGGGGAUGUAAGUCAGGUGUGAAAUCCCAAAGCUCAACUUUGGUGCUGCAUUUGAAACUGCAUUUCUUGAGGACUGACGGAGAAAGCGGAAUUCCAUGAGUAGCGGUGAAAUGCGUAGAUACAUGGAGGAACACCGGUGGCGAAAGCGGCUACCUGGACAAUUGCUGACGCUCAGGCACGAAAGCGUGGGGAGCAAAAGGG
rnacentral:rRNA from 1 species